UACGUAGGCAGCAAGCGUUGUUCGGAAUUACUGGGCGUAAAGCGUGCGCAGGCGGUUAUGCAAGACAGAGGUGAAAUCCCCGGGCUCAACCUGGGAACUGCCUUUGUGACUGCAUAGCUAGAGUACGGUAGAGGGGGAUGGAAUUCCGCGUGUAGCAGUGAAAUGCGUAGAUAUGCGGAGGAACACCGAUGGCGAAGGCAAUCCCCUGGACCUGUACUGACGCUCAUGCACGAAAGCGUGGGGAGCAAACAGG
rnacentral:rRNA from 1 species